UACGGGGGGGGCAAGCGUUGUUCGGAAUUACUGGGCGUAAAGGGCUCGUAGGUGGCCAACUAAGUCAGACGUGAAAUCCCUCAGCUUAACUGGGGAACUGCGUCUGAUACUGGAUGGCUUGAGAUUGGGAGAGGGAUGCGGAAUUCCAGGUGUAGCGGUGAAAUGCGUAGAUAUCUGGAGGAAUACCGGUGGCGAAGGCGGCAUCCUGGACCGGCAUUGACGCUGAGGAGCGAAAGCCAGGGGAGCAAACGGG
rnacentral:rRNA from 1 species